AAAACAUCCUCGCUAUGUAAAGGAGGGGAAGCCGGCUGUAAGGUAACAGGAAAGCCCAGCUCUGCAAUUGGAGGCGGCCACUUUCUCACUUAGACGUGCUGAGGAACGUAGGACUCUCUCUGAGGUGAGAGACUCUCUGAGGUGAGAGACUGACAUAGAAAGCCUGGGAGGAAUCGUGUGGAGAAAGAAGGCAGCCUCCUCCAGCGAGUAAUGAGCAGCCCGUUCAAGGGGAUUGAAUUCCGACUCCGGUGGCUUCGGAGAGAAAUGAACGCUCUCUCCAGAAAUCUGGGAAAUCAGACCUCAACGCCCGUGUGCCACUCUUGAAAUCAACGCCAUUGUCCCUGCUCCAAUCAUUUCUCGAAGAACCGGGGUGGGAUAUGCAUUUUAUCAAGAGGGAAAAAUAGAAAGGUAGGUUCUUGGAAUGGGGGGUGGGGCUGGAAAACUACAAGAAGAAGGAGCUGGCUUGCCUCGCCAGCAGAGAUGGGCAAAGGGACGGCCCAGCGUACUCACCCGGACG